rnacentral:rRNA from 1 species
UACGUAGGGUGCGAGCGUUGCCCGGAUUUAUUGGGCGUAAAGGGCGCGUAGGCGGCCACGCACGUCCGUUGUGAAAUCGCCCGGCUCAACUGGGCGGGGUCGGCGGAUACGGCGUGGCUGGAGCAAGCUAGGGGGCAAGUGGAAUUCCCGGAUCGUAGUGGUGGAAUGCGUAGAUAUCGGGAGGAACACCAGUGGCGAAGGCGGUUGCCUGGAGCUUUGCUGACGCUGAGGCGCGAAAGCGUGGGGAGCGAGUCCGG